rnacentral:rRNA from 1 species
GCCUACGGCCAUACCACCCUGAGAACGCCCGAUCUCGUCUGAUCUCGGAAGCUAAGCAGGGUCGGGUCUGAUUAGUACUUGGAUGGGAGACCGCCUGGGAAUACCAGGUGCUGUAAACU